rnacentral:tRNA from 1 species
AGCUCAGUCAGUAGAGUAUGGGACUCUUAAUCCCAGGGUUGUGGGUUUGGGCCCCAC